rnacentral:rRNA from 1 species
CAGCCGUAAACUAUACGCGUUAGGUGUAUCGGUGACCACGAGUUACCGAGGUGCCGAAGGGAAACCGUGAAACGUGCCGCCUGGGAAGUACGGUCGCAAGGCUGAAACUUAAAGGAAUUGGCGGGGGGAGCACCACAACAGGUGGAGCCUGCGGUUUAAUUGGACUCAACGCCGGGAAGCUCACCGGAUAGGACAGCAGAAUGAUUGCCGGGCUGAAGACCCUGCAUGACUAGCUGAGAGGAGGUGCAUGGCGUCAGUGACU